rnacentral:rRNA from 1 species
UACGAGGGGUGCAAGCGUUGCUCGGAAUUAUUGGGCGUAAAGGGUAGGUAGGUGGUCUCAUUUGUCCGUGGUGAAAGCCUUGGGCUUAACUCAAGAAGUGCCGCGGAAACGGUGAGACUAGAGUACUGGAGAGGGUCGUGGAAUUCCCGGUGUAGCGGUGAAAUGCGUAGAGAUCGGGAGGAACACCAGAGGCGAAGGCGGCGACCUGGACAGUAACUGACGCUAAACUACGAAAGCGUGGGGAGCAAACAGGAUUAGAUACCCUGGUAGUCCACGCCGUAAACGAUGAGUAUUAGGCUUGGCGGGUCUUGACCCCUGCCGAGCCGGCGCUAACGCAAUAAAUACUCCGCCUGGGAAGUACGGUCGCAAGACUAAA